UACGGAGGGUGCAAGCGUUAUCCGGAUUCACUGGGUUUAAAGGGUGCGUAGGUGGGCAAGUAAGUCAGUGGUGAAAUCUCCGGGCUCAACCCGGAAACUGCCAUUGAUACUAUUAGUCUUGAAUUCUGUUGAGGUGGGCGGAAUACAUCAUGUAGCGGUGAAAUGCUUAGAUAUGAUGUAGAACACCGAUUGCGAAGGCAGCUCACUAGCAGACAUUGACGCUGAGGCACGAAAGCGUGGGGAGCAAACAGG
rnacentral:rRNA from 1 species